AUUGAACGCUGGCGGCAUGCUUUACACAUGCAAGUCGAACGGCAGCACGGGGGCAGCCCUGGUGGCGAGUGGCGAACGGGUGAGUAAUACAUAGGAACGUGACCGGUCGAGGGGGAUAACGUAGCGAAAGGUACGCUAAUACCGCAUACGAUCUGAGGAUGAAAGCGGGGGACCUUUGGGCCAAGAGCGAUUGGCGCGGCCGUAGACAGAUUAGGUAGUUGGUGGGGUAAAGGCGUACCAAGCCGACGAUCUGUAGCUGGUCUGAGAGGACGACCAGCCACACUGGGACUGAGACACGGCCCAGACUCCUACGGGAGGCAGCAGUGGGGAAUUUUGGACAAUGGGCGCAAGCCUGAUCCAGCCAUGCCGCGUGCAGGACGAAGGCCUUCGGGUUGUAAACUGCUUUUGUACGGAACGAAAAGGCUCUGGCUAAUACCUGGGGCUCAUGACGGUACCGUAAGAAUAAGCACCGGCUAACUACGUG
rnacentral:rRNA from 1 species